UACAGAGGUCCCAAGCGUUGUUCGGAUUCACUGGGCGUAAAGGGUGCGUAGGUGGCCAGGUAAGUCGGAUGUGAAAGCUCGGAGCUCAACUCCGAAAUGGCAUUGGAAACUGCCUGGCUCGAGGGUUGGAGGGGGGACUGGAAUACUUGGUGUAGCAGUGAAAUGCGUAGAUAUCAAGUGGAACACCAGUGGCGAAGGCGCCUGUCUGGCUGACAACUGACGCUGAGACUCGAAAGCAUGGGGAGCAAACAGG
rnacentral:rRNA from 1 species